AUAUCAUUUUGAAAUAUUUGAUAUUGAAAUUUAAAAAACCGUCGGAAUAUCGUUUGGAAAACCUAAACUAUCAAAUUCUGUGUACCGCCUGAUGAUGGUAGUUUUACACUACUGAAAGUGCUAGCGGAAAAAACCUUUCUCCAAAAGAUGGAUAAAUUUCCACAUCUGGAACUCCACUCUUGUAACGCCCCUGCAUGUAAGUGUUCUAUUAAUAAGAAAAUCGAUCGUUAACGGAUAAAAACGGGACGGAAAUGAGGUUGUCGUUCGUUAAGCAAAUAACACCGCUCAGAGUAUCCAAAUCAUCUGAUUACGGGACGAACAGUCCCUUUCAGAAAGCCCUGAAAGCUUCGAUGGAACGAUAUCCGGCUACUUCCAGUCCCUUGGGAUCUGUUGGGAAGUCAAUCAAGCCGGUUCCGAUGUUGUUGGACAAUAAAAGUUACGACAAAAUAAUCGAUGUCUUAAUCAUACUCUUCGGAGGACGAAGAAUCUACAGAAUAUCUGUCUGUAAUGGAUAAAUACGAAAGCUCUUCAGAGGAAAGAAAUUGUCACACAUGACGAUUUGCAGUUCGAAUGUGCUUUUGUUGAGCUCUUUAGCAAACAGUGAAAAAAAUCAAUAAGAAUCAUUGCCAGAAGACAUCUUGGCUCAUCGAUGGGCGAUUCGAAUCUUUUAGAUUUAAAUACAGAACUGCGAAUGAAGAUGUUGGAGUGGUUCCGCAGGAGGUUCUGAUGGAAGAAGGCGAUGGUUGCGGAGGGUGUUCCUCCGACAGCACGAAAUGAGUCUGUCAGACUGACUGUGCCGGAAGAGACAUUGGAACACCGGAGGCUCAAGCAAGAGACAGCGGGUGAAGACCUUUCUUGAGUGCGUGUGGCAUGGCACUCUUCCAGGAAUCGAGAUUAUGCAAUGCUACACUGUGGGUCUGUCGCACUUGGCCAAGGUCUUUGGGGGUCAACCGGCCUCAGACCUUGUUGUGGAGAAUGUAAGGAGUGACAGCUCAUUCGAGUUAUCACUUCCUGUUUUCUCACACUUUGCCUCUUCAUCCGCCACUGUCUUGCAGAAGUCAGAAUGGGGAGGAAUCUGAGGAGAGAGCCGCCGAAGUCUCGGGGCCGUGGUUUUGAACCAAGCCUGUGAUCGCAUCUAUCGUCUUGGCCAAAAGAAGAAAGUCUUCAAGGAUUUCUCCCACGCUGGGUCAUAUAAAACAAAUAUGCGUACUUUUAAACUAAUAUCCGGCGUG